ACCACCAUGUCAACCACUAACCACCAUGUCCACCAAAACUGUAUAAACAGGUCAACCAGUAACCACCAUGUCCACCAAAACUGUAUGACCAGGUCAACCACUAACCACCAUGUCCACCAAAACUGUAUAAAACAGGUCAACCACUAACCACCAUGUCCACCAAAACUGUAUAAAACAGGUCAACCACUAACCACCAUGUCCACCAAAACUGUAUAAACAGGUCAACCACUAACCACCAUGUCCACCAAAACUGUAUGACCAGGUCAACCACUAACCACCAUGUCCACCAAAACUGUAUGACCAGGUCAACCACUAACCACCAUGUCCACCAAAACUGUAUGACCAGGUCAACCACUAACCACCAUGUCCACCAAAACUGUAUGACCAGGUCAACCACUAACCACCAUGUCCACCAAAACUGUAU